GGGUAGCUCAGUUGGUAGAGCAGCGGACUGAAAAUCCGCGUGUCGGUGGUUCAAAUCCGCCCCUGG
rnacentral:tRNA from 1 species